rnacentral:rRNA from 1 species
GAUGAACGCUGGCGGCGUGCCUAAUACAUGCAAGUCGAGCGAACAGACGAGGAGCUUGCUCCUCUGACGUUAGCGGCGGACGGGUGAGUAACACGUGGAUAACCUACCUAUAAGACUGGGAUAACUUCGGGAAACCGGAGCUAAUACCGGAUAAUCUAUUGAACCGCAUGGUUCAAUAGUGAAAGACGGUUUUGCUGUCACUUAUAGAUGGAUCCGCGCCGCAUUAGCUAGUUGGUAAGGUCACGGCUUACCAAGGCCACGAUGCGUAGCCGACCUGAGAGGGUGAUCGGCAACACUGGAACUGGAAAACGGUCCAAACUCCUACGGGAGGCAGCAGUAGGGAAUCUUCCGCAAUGGGCGAAAGCCUGACGGAGCAACGCCGCGUGAGUGAUGAAGGUCUUCGGAUCGUAAAACUCUGUUAUUAGGGAAGAACAAAUGUGUAAGUAACUAUGCACGUCUUGACGGUACCUAAUCAGAAAGCCACGGCUAACUACGUG